rnacentral:rRNA from 1 species
GACGAACGCUGGCGGCGCGCUUAACACAUGCAAGUCGAGCGCUGAAACUUUAACAUUACCCUUACUGGCGGAGCUACAGACGGUUAGCUGCGGAGGGGUGAGUAACACGUGAGUAACCUGCCUUCGACAUUGGGAUAGCCCCGGGACACCGUGAUUACUUCAAACUAAAAUCAUAAUGACACAUGUCACAACUAUAUAAACUGCGGUUGUCUAAGCUGGACUCUCGUCCCAUUAUCUAGUAGGUACAGUAAAAGCCUAUCAAGGCGAAGAUGCGUAGCCGGCCUGAGAGGGUGAACCGACACAUUGGAACUGAGAAACGGACCGAACUCCUACGGGAGGCAGCAGGGGGGAAUAUUGAACGACGGAGGGAACUAUGAUGCAGCGACGUCGCGUGAACGAAGAAGGCUUUCGAGUCGUAAAGUUGUGUUAUAUGGGAAGAUAAUGACGGUACCAUAAGAAAAAGCCCCGGCUAACUACGUG